CUGGAGUACUCGAGUGGCGAACGGGUGAGUAACACGUGGGUAAUCUGCCCUGCACUCCGGGAUAAGCCUGGGAAACUGGGUCUAAUACUGGAUAUGACCUUUCUCCUUAUGGGGUUUGGUGGAAAGUUUUUCGGUGUAGGAUGAGCCCGCGGCCUAUCAGCUUGUUGGUGGGGUGAUGGCCUACCAAGGCGACGACGGGUAGCCGGCCUGAGAGGGUGAUCGGCCACAUUGGGACUGAGAUACGGCCCAG
rnacentral:rRNA from 1 species